UAUGUUCUAGUGUAUGGUGCACAAAAGUUUUUGAUACUUUAGGAAGUAGUUCAAAUCUAUUGGAUAUAA
rnacentral:tRNA from 1 species